rnacentral:rRNA from 1 species
GACAGAGGAGGCAAGCGUUAACCGGAGUCAUUGGGCGUAAAGGGUACGUAGGCGGCUAGUUAAGUCUGAGGUUAAAGACCACAGCUUAACUGUGGGAAGGCCUUGGAAACUGACUGGCUAGAGUGGGGCAGGGGUUGCGGGAAUUCCCGGUGUAGCGGUGAAAUGCGUAGAUAUCGGGAAGAACACCUGAGGCGAAAGCGCGCAACUGGGCCCUAACUGACGCUGAGGUACGAAAGCUUGGGGAGCGAAUGGG